rnacentral:rRNA from 1 species
AUUGAACGCUGGCGGCAGGCCUAACACAUGCAAGUCGAGCGGAUGAAGGGAGCUUGCUCCUGGAUUCAGCGGCGGACGGGUGAGUAAUGCCUAGGAAUCUGCCUGGUAGUGGGGGAUAACGUCCGGAAACGGGCGCUAAUACCGCAUACGUCCUGAGGGAGAAAGUGGGGGAUGUUCGGACCUCACGCUAUCAGAUGAGCCUAGGUCGGAUUAGCUAGUUGGUGGGGUAAAGGCCUACCAAGGCGACGAUCCGUAACUGGUCUGAGAGGAUGAUCAGUCACACUGGAACUGAGACACGGUCCAUACUCCUACGGGAGGCAGCAGUGGGGAAUAUUGGACAAUGGGCGAAAGCCUGAUCCAGCCAUGCCGCGUGUGUGAAGAAGGUCUUCGGAUUGUAAAGCACUUUAAGUUGGGAGGAAGGGCAGUAAGUUAAUACCUUGCUGUUUUGACGUUACCAACAGAAUAAGCACCGGCUAACUUCGUG